GGUGAGUUUACCUAGUUUGGUAAGGUGUCGCCCUGAUAAGGCGAUUGUUCGGUAAGGAACAUCGUGGGUUCAAAUCCACAUUUACCG
rnacentral:tRNA from 1 species